UACGUAGGGUGCGAGCGUUGUCCGGAAUUACUGGGCGUAAAGAGCUCGUAGGUGGUUUGUCGCGUUGUCCGUGAAAACUCACAACUCAAUUGUGGGCGUGCGGGCGAUACGGGCAGACUGGAGUACUGCAGGGGAGACUGGAAUUCCUGGUGUAGCGGUGGAAUGCGCAGAUAUCAGGAGGAACACCGGUGGCGAAGGCGGGUCUCUGGGCAGUAACUGACGCUGAGGAGCGAAAGCAUGGGGAGCGAGCAGG
rnacentral:rRNA from 1 species